GACGAACGCUGGCGGCGUGCUUAACACAUGCAAGUCGAACGGAAAGGCCCUGCUUUUGUGGGGUGCUCGAGUGGCGAACGGGUGAGUAACACGUGAGUAACCUGCCCUUGACUUUGGGAUAACUUCAGGAAACUGGGGCUAAUACCGGAUAGGAGCUCCUGCUGCAUGGUGGGGGUUGGAAAGUUUCGGCGGUUGGGGAUGGACUCGCGGCUUAUCAGCUUGUUGGUGGGGUAGUGGCUUACCAAGUCUUUGACGGGUAGCCGGCCUGAGAGGGUGACCGGCCACAUUGGGACUGAGAUACGGCCCAGACUCCUACGGGAGGCAGCAGUGGGGAAUAUUGCACAGUGGGCGGAAGCCUGAUGCAGCAACGCCGCGUGCGGGAUAACGGCCUUCGGGUUGUAAACCGCUUUCGCCUGUGACGAAGCGUGAGUGACGGUAAUGGGUAAAGAAGCACCGGCUAACUACGUG
rnacentral:rRNA from 1 species